UACGGGGGGGGCAAGCGUUGUUCGGAAUUACUGGGCGUAAAGGGCUCGUAGGCGGCCAACUAAGUCAUACGUGAAAUCCCUCGGCUUAACCGGGGAACUGCGUCUGAUACUGGAUGCUUGAGUUCGGGAGAGGGAUGCGGAAUUCCAGGUGUAGCGGUGAAAUGCGUAGAUAUCUGGAGGAACACCGGUGGCGAAGGCGGCAUCCUGGACCGAUACUGACGCUGAGGAGCGAAAGCCAGGGGAGCAAACGGG
rnacentral:rRNA from 1 species